AGCUUGUCUGGAGGUGCAGUCAAUAUGAAUGGAAUCAAGAAGAAAUUUGAUGCAAUGGCUUCCCCAACAAAGACAAUUACAAGCCCACUCUCUCCUUACCGUUCUCCUGGUGCUUCCAAUGUUAAUAGCAAUCUAAAUUGUGGUAACUCAAAGAUGGCAGCUACCCCUGUAACCACAGCGAUGACAACUGCCAGGUGGCUGCGUACCGUCAUAGCUCCACUACAGGCAAAACCUUCACCUGAGUUGGAGAGAUUUUUGUCUGCCUGUGAUAGGAAUGUAUCAGCUGAUGUGAUCCGGAGGGCUCACAUUAUUCUGGAGGCUAUAUUUCCAAGUAGUGGUCCUGGGGAGCAUUGUGCGGCUGGGAGCCUGCAAAGCACAAGCUUAAUGGACAACAUAUGGGCAGAGCAACGUAGAUCUGAGUCUCUGAAGUUGUAUUAUAGGGUUCUGCAGACUAUGUGUGUCGCAGAAUCUCAGAUUUUGCAUGUGACCAAUUUAACUUCGUUGCUAACCAAUGAGAGGUUUCAUAGAUGUAUGCUUGCCUGCUCAGCUGAACUAGUUCUUGCCACUCACAAGACAGUUACAAUGUUGUUUCCAGCUGUUUUGGAGAGAACAGGAAUUACA
rnacentral:misc_RNA from 1 species